CGCCGCUGUCUGUCAUACCAUCACAGUCAACUGACAGGAACAAGGUCAAGAUGUCCAGAUCCUGUCUUUCUUGGAGGCUAAACAUUUUAUUGAGAGUCACGUUCUGCCUACCUGCAGUGAUGAUGAUCCUGCAGAGUGUUCCAGGAGAGUCCAAAGUACUGACUGCACUCAGUGGAAAUGAGGCAACGUUCGAGUGUCCAUUCAACACCAGUGAUUCACUGUACGCAAUUCUCAGAAGAAAGACCGCGCUGUGUGAAUUUGGAAUUAACAAUAACAACAGCAACAUGGGAAAAUGUAAUAACAGCAGGAUAAGAAA